AUUGAACGCUGGCGGCAGGCCUAACACAUGCAAGUCGAACGAGUGGCGGACGGGUGAGUAAUGUCUGGGAAACUGCCUGAUGGAGGGGGAUAACUACUGGAAACGGUAGCUAAUACCGCAUACCAUCAGAUGUGCCCAGAUGGGAUUAGCUAGUUGGUGGGGUAAAGGCUCACCAAGGCGACGAUCCAUAGCUGGUCUGAGAGGAUGACCGGCCACACUGGAACUGAGACACGGUCCAGACUCCUACGGGAGGCAGCAGUAGGGAAUAUUAGGCAAUGGGCGCAAGCCUGAUGCAGCAAUGCCGCGUGAAUGAAGAAGGCCUUCGGGUUGUAAAGUACUUUCAGCAGGGAGGCGUUACCCGAAGAGGAAGCAACGGCUAACUCCGUGCCAGCAGCCGCGGUAAUAC
rnacentral:rRNA from 1 species